rnacentral:rRNA from 1 species
UACGUAGGGUGCGAGCGUUGUCCGGAAUUAUUGGGCGUAAAGAGCUCGUAGGCGGUUUGUCGCGUCGACUGUGAAAACCCGAGGCUUAACCUCGGGCCUGCAGUCGAUACGGGCAGACUAGAGUUCGGUAGGGGAGACUGGAAUUCCUGGUGUAGCGGUGAAAUGCGCAGAUAUCAGGAGGAACACCAAUGGCGAAGGCAGCUCGCUGGGACGGUACUGACGCUGAGACGCGAAAGCGUGGGGAGCAAACAGG